GGAAGAAGAGGGAGGUGCAGUAUUUCCAGGCGAGAGAACUGAUGGCGCUCACGAAGGGCACGUCUUUAACACGCAGACGUACCACACGCUCAGAGACUGGACACGUUCUCCUGCUUGUCAUCCACAGACAGUCACUAGAAGGAAGAGCGUGAAAAAGAGAGAGGGCUUACCCAGUAGGAAUGACGCCCGUACGAACACAGCUCCAGGAGGAAGAAGGCUCGUCACGUGGCGAGAUACAAACACGACCAAACGACGACAGAAAAUAAUAAGACCUUGAAAAUGCACACCGCCAAACUCUUUCAAAGGAAAAUAUAAAACUCUGGGUAUCAGUGCAGAUGAAAAAAUAACACCCAAAGAGAAGAAAUAACACCAAGAUCCAAACUGAUGCAAAAAUUGCCGCACAAAACUACGGAAAGGCCCCAAAAAAGCUACUUGUUGCCAGAGCUCGAGUCUCCCCCCUGCGUGCGGCUGGAGCUGAGAACAGGGGAGCGAGCGAUAGAAGAGACGAGGCAGCAAGCGCAGAGUGAAGGAGAGAAAAGCUCGACUGAUGAUGAAAUAGGAGUAUCAGGAGCUCUAAAAAGAAAGAAAGAAAGAAAGAAAAAGGAAAAACGGUCAAAUCUCUGCAUGUCUCCUGUUCUGGACGUAUUUUGAUGCCUUAUGUCUUUAAUGCCAGAUGAAAAGUAUAGCAGGGGAUUGCAUGCCUAGCAGAGAAAAAGGUGGGGGAAACUACUCUUUUGCUUCUUUUACUGUGUGUAACUUUCUGUUGGUUUGUGGAUGUCAUUG
rnacentral:lncRNA from 1 species